rfam:Penicillium flavigenum strain IBT 14082 PENFLA_contig082, whole genome shotgun sequence.
UUGCAUGAUGAACCCCAAUAUAUGCUGUUCUAUCUCUGAACUAUCAUGUCGAUAAAAUAUUUUCACCUUGGAGAACUGAUCU